rnacentral:rRNA from 1 species
CGCGUAGGUGGUAGUGAAAGUCUAUGGUGGAAUCUUAGGGCUUAACCCUAAAACUGCCUUGGAAACUUCAUUACUUGAGUCAGUGAGGGGAGGGUAGAAUUCCUGGUGUAGCGGUGAAAUGCGUAGAUAUCAGGAGGAAGGCCGGUGGCGAAGGCGGCCCUCUGGCGCUGAACUGACGCUGAGGCGCGAAAGCGUGGGUAGCAAACAGGAUUAGAUACCCUGGUAGUCCACGCCCUAAACGGUGGGUACUAGGUGUAGGGCUCGUAAGGGUUCUGUGCCGAAGGGAAACCAUUAAGUACCCCGCCUGGGGAGUACGGCCGCAAGGUUGAA